AGCGGGAUUAUUUUUGUAAAGCCCGGACAAAUUAAGUUUUCACAACUUUCUCAGAACCAAUAUCGUGAUUCAUCCGCUUAAACCCUAGAUAUUCUUCCUCAAUUUCUUUAAUAUUCCAUCUCCUUCCUAAACUCUAAUCGAUCACAAAUCUCACGAUUCACACAAGAACAAAAGGCGAGACAGAAGAGGAACGAAAUCAGAGGAUUGAAGCUUCUAUUGUUGGAGUUUGCUACGAAAUCUACGACAUUGAAGGUUUAAUCAUCCGAACUGCUAUCUAAUUGAGCUAUUGGCAAAGGAAGGAUAUCUUGUUGUGUUGGUUCCUUAUAAUGUGACAUUCAAUCAUGAAGAUGCAGCUAGGCAAGUUUAUGAGAGAUUUAAUGCCUGCUUGGAUAUCCUUCUCACCUGUGGACUUUCUGAUGCAAAAAUGUUGUUGGUGAGAUCAGAAGAGGUGUUUUUGAAGAAACUGGUUUGACAUGUAGUGCUGGUGUGGCUCCUAAUCGAUUACUGGCUAAGAUUGGAGGCAUUGGCAAGGUUACCGAGCAUAUCCUAAGGAAUACUUUUGAAAUAAAUACAUGCAAGGAUUUGCUUGAGAAAGGCAGUUUUCUCUGUGCCUUGUUUUCUCCUUCAUCUGCAGAUCACUGAUUACCUUGUGGUUUUUCUUAUCUUUGAAUCUUUAAAGUCGUAUCAUUAAUUCUCUUAUGAAUGAUUUAGCUGUGUGGUAGCCAAGAUUUUCCAGAGGUCUCUUCUGCAUUCUUCUUGUGCCAUUGUAUAAUACAAGAGUGUGCUUCUUGAGCUUACUAGUGUCCAGGCUCGAAGGAGAGGGAAGCGAGCUAUAGAGUUGGAAAAAAGGUGGAAGAUGUCCUGGC